CGAGCUCUUCAACAUUAUGGUCAAUUGUAUAAUUAAUCAACCUUCUUACAAAAUUAGGCGGAAACGGAUAAACAGCAAGAAACUUGAAACAAGAAACAUGGGUAUCUUGGUCUCGAUUUUCCAAAACAUGGUCAAUAAAUCUGAUGAUACCAGAAUGAGUGUAUGGGAAAAGCUGAUCAUACCCAUCAAAUGAGAGGACAGGGAGACUAGUCCACAUACGCUUCCAUCUUUUGGAGAGAAUGCUUGUCUGAACCGCUUGUCGAGUGCCCAGAAAUGAUAGGAUCUGAUGAAUUAAUUCAUCGGGUAAGCUGCUGAGCCUGUCUUGUCCAUUUGGGUUUGUGAUUUUGAGCUUGCUGUUCAUUUCUGGUGCCCCAAUUUUCAGGGGUCUUGAGGGUUUACUCAUGACUGCUAAAAGGGGCUGUGCGACAUGUUAUAUAAGUUUAUAUAUAGUCGCAGGGGGAGUUUAUGCGUCAGGAGAGGCUGACUUGUUCGUGCGGGUCUAUCUGGAUCCUGUUGCUUAUUCAGGUGUUUUUUCUCCCUUUUUUUUUUCUUGAAUAUCUAGUUUUUUGUGAAAAUAAAAUCGUAUUUGGUCAAUAAAUAUCUGGACAAAAAGUUGGCAAAUUAUCUAGUAUUUUGUGAAAUAUAAAUUCCCAAACAGGGCAUAAUAAUAUUUGCAGUACAACAGCAAUGCUGUAUAUGCCAAUGACAACAUUUAUAAUCAGUGACUGUCAAUCCGUACUUAAUGCUUGUUUCUAUUCCCCCAUCACAUGAAAAACAAAAAAUAUAAAGAUAUAUUUUCUGGUUUCAACUUUGGAUUCAGUGUGUGUCGUAUCUGCCUACAGGACUGAGACUCACUAUAGAACAAUUUGUGUAUAAAGAAAACAGAUUACUUGCAUACCUGAGGCAAUGAUGUGACAAUAGUGGCUCUUGGAUUGCCACCGAGUAAGUAUUUUCUGAGGGUAGUAGAUAUACCAGAUUCUUUAUUUCCUUGAGGCAGUUUCACAUACUUCAAAUUUUUGAAUGGAGAAGGAACACGUCCCAAAUGGUUGGAAACUGUAUAAAGUACCUAAAAUAUAUUAUGACAAAAUACAUUAGUAUAAACAAUAUCUGAAAGCCAGUUGUAAUUAAGAACUAUUGUUCAGCAUAGAAUACACAAAGAUAACAUGUAACUUGCGCAUUAGUUCUUGCAGGAAUAUAUUAGUUUUUUGGAAGCCAGAUCACUCACGAAGCUGAACAGAAGUGGUGUGAUUACUCUUGGCUUAUAUAUUUUAUAAAUGUAAACCACUGUCCACCAGAUAAUAAUGUUUAACUACAUUCUGCUCCGGAAACUAGAAAUAUUUAUUAAAGCAUCAUAAAAGUCAAAUAUUAAUUUACCUCAAUCAUAGCAGAGUCGAGAGUAAGAGUCCUGGCAUUACCCAGUUCUGAUAACAUGGGUAUGACAAAAUCAUAAUGUAAUCCCUUCUCAUCCAAUGUUGCAUCAUUGAACUCAUUUGUAUCUUAUAAUUUUACAGAUACAUUCUCCAAUCCAUGAACUUUUGACCUGACCAUAUUGAUACCAACUAAAGAAAGUUCGCGGAGCUUGUUUGACAAAACCACUAUUUCAUGGAUCCAGCAAAUACAUGAAAAGUUGGAACAGAUCUUGAGGUGCACUAAUUGGGGACAAGAUAUAAUCCAAUUGUGUUUACACGAUCCACUGAAAGAUAUUGUAAUAUCCCGCACAACUCACAAGUGCAGAGAAGAAAUCAUUCAUGUUCGCAGGUAAAUCUACCUCAUCCAGUUCUAGACUUAGUAAAUCUGGCAAAUCCCACACAUUUUCCGGCAAUUUGGCCCUUUUCAUGAUGAGGGUUGUCAGACAAGGCACGCUGAUAGACGACAGCGAUUCCGGCAACCUAAUGCCAUCAAGACACGGAGUCGUCAAAUUUGGCAACCAUAUCAAACAAUAUUCAGAUAAGUUAUAACUUGACAUAUGUGGCGGGCGUAUCAAAUGCAAAGCUUUUAAAGCAGGCAAGACCCACUCAGAAUCUGUUCGCAAUGAUUCAUCAUAGUCAAGAGGCACCCGUAACUUAAGUUUCUUCAAGGUAUCAGAACUAAAUGUCAAUAACUUGAACGGCUUAUAACGAUGGAACUGCAAAUCGAUAUCGAGCUCUUCAACAUUAUGGUCAAUUGGAUAAUUAAUCAACCUUCUUACAAAAUUAGGCGGAAACGGAUAAACAGCAAGAAACUUGAAACAAGAAACAUGGGUAUCUUGGUCUCGAUUUUCCAAAACAUGGUCAAUAAAUCUGAUGAUACCAGAAUGAGUGUAUGGGAAAAGUUGAUCAUACCCAUCAAAGGAGAGGACAGGGAGAGUAGUCCACAUACGCUUCCAUCUUUUAGAGUGGAUGCUUGUCUGAACCGCUUGUCGAGUGCCCAGAAAUGAAAGGACUUGAUAUAUUAAUUCAUCAAGUAAGCUGCUGAGCCUGUGUUCUCCAUUUGGGUUUGUGAUUUUGAGCUUGCUGUUCAUUUUUGGUGACCCAAUUUUCAUGGGUCUCGAGGGUUUACUGAUUACUGCUAAAAGGGGGCUUAUGAUGGUAUGAAAUGGGAUAUAAAUUUAUGUCGUCUGAGGGGAGAUCAAGCGUCAGGACUCAGGAGAGGGUGUGGGGUAACCGAGCUGACUUGUUUUUUUGGAGCAGCGUCUAUUUGGAUACUAUUGUUUAUACAGAAGUCAAAAUAAAAAAUGGUAUAAAAUCCUUAUGUGAAUUGUAAAACUUUUAAAGCUAACAAGAAAACCAAGUAAUUGUCCCCGGUAAGAGAAAAAACAUCAUUACCGGUUAAAUAGAAAGUGAUAAACCAUUUCUGAUAGACAAGUAAUAGAUCCCUGAUCCCUUGACCCGGUAACAAACUCACUAGCAAAAUCAGUCAUUUCAAUCCAUAAAAAAGUUUUUCACCAAGGUGCAAAGCAUAUUUAGCUUUGGUGUAUAAAAUAUCUCAAUUUUGGCUAUGAAAUUAUUAAAAGCACUUCACUGUGAGAUCAAGUAGCCCUCCAAACUCCUAGUUCUGGCCCUGCUAUAACCCAAAAUCAACAAUUUCUCAGGAAGAGCUUGCCCCGUCAUUACCUGUCCCGGUUCCUUCAACUGGACAACCAAUCUGUCUCACCUUUCCAGCAUCUACAACAGAAUUCUCGACCAAAUGCUCUCCUUGAACCCUCUUCCCAGUAUCAACACAGACCUUUUGCGAUGUCGAGGAGUUUGACACCACUUGAUGAUUCAACUUUCUCUGGAAAAAAAAUGACAAAUGCUGAGUGAAAU
rnacentral:lncRNA from 1 species